rnacentral:pre_miRNA from 1 species
UGGGGGAGUGUAGGAUCCUGGACUGUGUCCCCAGUUGCCAUGGGAUCUGGGGCCUGUGCCACUGGAAUCGCGCUCCUGGGCUGCAGCCCCCU